UACGUAGGCAGCGAGCGUUGUUCGGAAUUACUGGGCGUAAAGAGUGCGUAGGCGGUGCUCUAAGUUUGGUGUGAAAUCUCCCGGCUUAACUGGGAGGGUGCGCCGAAGACUGGAGUGCUUGAGUGUGGGAGAGGAAAGCGGAAUUCCUGGUGUAGCGGUGAAAUGCGUAGAUAUCAGGAGGAACACCGGUGGCGAAGGCGGUUCUCUGGGCAUUACCUGACGCUGAGGAGCGAAAGUGUGGGGAGCGAACAGG
rnacentral:rRNA from 1 species